rnacentral:rRNA from 1 species
UACGUAGGCAGCAAGCGUUGUUCGGAUUUACUGGGCGUAAAGGGCGCGUAGGCGGCGUGACAAGUCACUUGUGAAAUCUCCGGGCUUAACUCGGAACGGUCAAGUGAUACUGUCGUGCUAGAGUACAGAAGGGGCAACUGGAAUUCUCGGUGUAGCGGUGAAAUGCGUAGAUAUCGAGAGGAACACCUGCGGCGAAGGCGGGUUGCUGGGCUGAUACUGACGCUGAGGCGCGAAAGCCAGGGGAGCGAACGGG